AGGAGUAGUUUAGUAUUCUGUUGUUCAAAAGAUAACGGAGCUUACGGUGGACCACUACUUCUAUCAUCACGACACACAACUUUAUUUUACGUUCAGAAGUAAAAUUCAUGAUAUAAACAUAAAGCAAAAGUGUCCAUCAGGUUUUGAUGAAAGUCGCCUACACAGUCAUGGGUUGUCCAUGGCACACAGAGACCGCAAGUCAAAGUGUAUUUUUACCAAAAACCUCUAAGGGGUCGAACCCUGAGUCAGGUCGCAAGCUUGAAGAGAGUUGAGUAAUGAAAGAGUAGUUAAAACCUUAAGAAGUGAUUGGUCUAACCAAUCGGCGAUGAGAGUUACCAUUCAAAAGAUGGUGGAAACGAAGGGAACCACAUAAUCCUUUAAAAGAUUCUCAAAAUUAGGUGUAUUCUCAACCU
rnacentral:ncRNA from 1 species